rnacentral:lncRNA from 1 species
AGCCUGCAGCUUGCAAAAGUACCUGGUUAUUUUUAUUCCUUUGAUACUUGAUCUACUAUCAAAAUAACUGAUUUUUUUCUCUUUAACUCCUUAGGAAUCCCUAAAAAACCUGCCACAGGUGAGGCACUGCCAAAAGCCCCCUCAGUUGCCCAUGCACAGGAUGGGUCGGGUCACCGCUUGCACAGCCCUGCAACUGCAGCUGUGCUUGGUGCAGGGUUUCUCCUGAAGACGUGAGGGUUUUGUCCUGCCCUGCGUGCGUUUUGCAAUCCAGAUACUCAGGUAACUCAGUGCCUGAGUGGAUUGUUUGAGUCCAGGCUGACUUGGGAGACACAUGGAAGCUAAUGUCCACCUGCCAGCUGUACGUGGGGGUCCAUGCACUUCAAGGCAGUAACAUCUCAGGUCCAGACGGGCACCCAGCAGUGGCAUCCUGGCAGAUGACUUGAGAUCUCUAUCAGAUGAUAGUGGAGGCCUCCAGAGCCUUUUCCUACGCAAGGAACAUCUUUGCUGCCGACGUAUCUUGGGCUCUCACUUGUGCUUGUCCUGGCCAUCCUUGCACAUGGUGUGUCUGCAUGUGUCCAGCUGGAAGAUGA